rnacentral:lncRNA from 1 species
GUAUUUCAUAUGUUUAUGUCCUCUGUAUGGGAUCUUCUGGGCACCAGUCCCCAUUGGUCAAAUCCCACUGGAACCAGUAAGAAGAGAGCAAAAUAGAAGAGGAGAAGGAAUCUGGAGGGGCAAAUGGAAGAUAUGUGGCAUGAGAUAUUAGAAGGAGCGUAUUCCCAGAAAAUAGUUCCAAAGGAGGACUGCCAAGAGGCAGCAUCUUGAAAAUGCACACAUUGUCCUAUUCUCUGAUUAGCCAAGUUGACAGAAACCAAUCUGUAGCUGAUGUUUUGAUGGUUAACAAUGUUCUCCAGAAAUUAGGCCUUGUACACCUGACCAUGAAUAUGUCUACAAAUGAUUCAGGAAGCAUGUUUCCAUCCCUUCUAGGCAGGCUGAGCUAUUUUUUGUGCCCACAGAAGUUCUUACAAGCUUCAUGGUAGGUCUUGCUGGUAUUGGAAAUUUGAUAAGAAUUAAAUCCAAAAAAAAAAAAAAAACAAAACUAAACUAAGCAAAUCUCUUUUAUACAUUGUAUAGACACAGCAACCAGUUAAAAUAAGUUUAAAGAUUUUCAACAGUAGUUUAUGCUAUCAUCCACAUGUAAUUAUAUUUAAACUCUGGAAGCCUAUAUUUUGCAUUUAAGUGGUAUAAAUAGUUUAUUCUUUCCAGCAGGUAUUUGAUAAGCUCUACUAUGUUCUAGGCAGAUUUCUAGGAGCUAGGGAAAUAGUGUAUAAUAAGAUAGAUAAUAGUGUAAUUUAUGUACCAGUGGGUAUACAGGCAAAAUACAUGUGAAGGUCAUUUUAGAUAGACUUAAGGCAAUGAAAAAUAUAAAAUAGGGUAUUGUAAUAGAGGGUUUAAGGAUGUUGGGUUUAACUUGAAAUGGGUAGUCAAUAAGGAGGUGAGUUUUGCAUUUAGAGCGGAAAGACAAGAAUAUGUUAGCAAUAUGAGGACGUGGGGUCAGCAUUCCAGGGAGAGUGAAGAGAAAGUACAGACUCCAAGGCAGAGACAAUGUUGGUUGUCCAAGGACCAUAAAGUAGGACAAUGUGGCUGAAGUGGCUGGAGAAGAAGAGGGGCAGGAACUAUGUUUGGAAAGGUAGUCAGAGACAAGUCAGGUACGCCUUUGGGCCAGGGAAGAUGGUUUGGAUUUUAUUGCUAGUGCAGUGGGAAUUUAUGCAAGAGUGAGAGGUAGCAAUUCUAAUUAAUCACUCAUUUUGUAAUACUGUUGUUUUGCAGUGUGUGUGCAUCUACCUUUUCAUUUUAAUAAAAGGUUAAACAGUUUCUGUGUUCUAGAAUUU